GAUGAACGCUGGCGGCGUGCCUAAUACAUGCAAGUCGAGCGAACGGACGAGACUCUUUCUUCUCUUAUGUUAGCGGCGGACGGGUGAGUAAUACGUGUAUAACCUACCUAUAAGACUGGGAUAACUUCGGGAAACCUGAUCUAAUAUCGGAUAUUAUUUUGAACCUCAUGGUUCAUCAGUGAAAGACGUUCUUGCUGUCACUUAUAGAUGUUUCCGCGCUGCAUUAGUUAGUUGGUAAGGUAACGGCUUACCAAGGCAACGAUGCAUAGCGGACCUGGGAGGGGAACAGGCAAAACUGAAACUGGGAAACGGUCAGAACGCUAAGGGAGGGCAGAAGGAGGAAAAUUGCAGAAAGGGGGGAAGGCCGGACGAAGCAACGCGGGGGGAGGGAGAAGGGCCUUCGAAUGGUAAAACUCUGUUAUUGGGAAAGAACAUAGGUGGAAGAAACUGUGCAGAUCUUGAGGGUACAAAAGAAGAAAGACACGGCUAACUACGU
rnacentral:rRNA from 1 species